UACGAAGGGCCCAAGCGUUACUCGGAAUUACUGGGCGUAAAGGGUGCGCAGGUGGUCUGUUAAGUCUGAUGUGAAAGCCCUGGGCUCAACCUGGGAAUUGCAUUGGAUACUGGCAGGCUAGAGUGCGGUAGAGGGUAGUGGAAUUCCCGGUGUAGCAGUGAAAUGCGUAGAGAUCGGGAGGAACAUCCGUGGCGAAGGCGACUACCUGGACCAGCACUGACACUGAGGCGCGAAAGCGUGGGGAGCAAACAGG
rnacentral:rRNA from 1 species